rnacentral:rRNA from 1 species
GUGGGGAAUAUUGGACAAUGGGGGGAACCCUGAUCCAGCCAUGCCGCGUGUGUGAAGAAGGCCUUUUGGUUGUAAAGCACUUUAAGCGAGGAGGAGGCUACCGAGAUUAAUACUCUUGGAUAGUGGACGUUACUCGCAGAAUAAGCACCGGCUAACUCUGUGCCAGCAGCCGCGGUAAUACAGAGGGUGCAAGCGUUAAUCGGAUUUACUGGGCGUAAAGCGCGCGUAGGUGGCCAAUUAAGGCAAAUGUGAAAUCCCCGAGCUUAACUUGGGAAUUGCAUUCGAUACUGGUUGGCUAGAGUAUGGGAGAGGAUGGUAGAAUUCCAGGUGUAGCGGUGAAAUGCGUAGAGAUCUGGAGGAAUACCGAUGGCGAAGGCAGCCAUCUGGCCUAAUACUGACACUGAGGUGCGAAAGCAUGGGGAGCAAACAGGAUUAGAAACCCCGGUAGUCC